AGGCAGUUGGCGGCAUGCUUUAACAUGCAGUCGAACGGCAGCGCGGGCUUCGGCCUGGCGGCGAGUGGCGAACGGGUGAGUAAUAUAUCGGAACGUACCCAAGAGUGGGGGAUAACGUAGCGAAAGUUACGCUAAAUACCGCCUAUAGGCGUAUCCCAAGGGGGGAAAUGAAACGCGAGGGGCCCACCGCAAAGCCGCCUUUUGUGCUCCUGGGGGACCGCGGCCAAAUAUUUCUAGAAUUAAGCUUAAGUUGGGGGUGGGGUUAAAAGGCCCCCCACCAAAGGGCAAAACGAUCCAGUAAGGCUGGUUCUGAGGAGGGACGGCACCAGCCCCACACUGGGAAACUGAGAACCACGGUCCCAGACUUCCUACCGGGGAGGCCAGCCAGUGGGGAAAUUUUGGAACAAUGGGGGGCAACCCUUGAUCCCAGCCAAUGCCGGCGUGAGUGAAGGAAGGCCUUUCGGGGUUGUAAAAGCUUCUUUUGUCAGGGAAAGAAAAAGGUUCGUGGGCUAAUAUCCCACGACUGCUGGACGGUACCUGAAGGAAUAAGCACCGGGCUAACUACGUGCCCAGCAGCCGCGGUAAUACGUAGGGGUGCAAGCGUUAAUCGGAAUUACUGGGCGUAAAGCGUGCGCAGGCGGUUUUCGUAAGUCUGUCGUGAAAUCCCCCGGGCUUAACCUGGGAAUGGCGAUGGAGACUGCGAGGCUAGAGUUUGGCAGAGGGGGGUAGAAUUCCACGUGUAGCAGUGAAAUGCGUAGAGAUGUGGAGGAACACCGAUGGCGAAGGCAGCCCCCUGGGUCAAAACUGACGCUCAUGCACGAAAGCGUGGGGAGCAAACAGGAUUAGAUACCCUGGUAGUCCACGCCCUAAACGAUGUCUACUAGUUGUUGGGUCUUAAUUGACUUAGUAACGCAGCUAACGCGUGAAGUAGACCGCCUGGGGAGUACGGUCGCAAGAUUAAAACUCAAAGGAAUUGACGGGGACCCGCACAAGCGGUGGAUGAUGUGGAUUAAUUCGAUGCAACGCGAAAAACCUUACCUACCCUUGACAUGGCAGGAAUCCCGGGAGAGAUUUGGGAGUGCUCGAAAGAGAACCUGCACACAGGUGCUGCAUGGCUGUCGUCAGCUCGUGUCGUGAGAUGUUGGGUUAAGUCCCGCAACGAGCGCAACCCUGGUCAUUAGUUGCUACGCCAGAGCACUCUAAUGAGACUGCCCGGUGACAAACCGGAAGAAAGGUGGGGGAUGAACGUCAAGUCCUCAUGGGCCCUUAUGGGGUAGGGGCUUCCCACCGUCCUUACAAUGGGUGCCUACAGAGGGCCGCCAACCCGCGAGGGGGAGCUAAUCCCAGAAAGUGUAUCGUAGUCCGGAUUGUAGUCUGCAACUCGACUACAUGAAGUUGGAAUCGCUAGUAAUCGCGGAUCAGCAUGUCGCGGUGAAUACGUUCCCGGGUCUUGUACACACCGCCCGUCACACCAUGGGAGCGGGUUUUACCAGAAGUAGGUAGCUUAACCGCAAGGAGGGCGCUACCACGUUAGAUUCGAAGGU
rnacentral:rRNA from 1 species